GAUGAACGCUAGCGGCAGGCUUAAUACAUGCAAGUCGAGGGGCAGCAGUUUUGUAGCAAUACAGAAGCUGGCGACCGGCAAACGGGUGCGGAACACGUACGCAACCUUCCUUUAACUGGAAGAUAGCCCACCGAAAGGUGGAUUAAUACUCCAUAACAUAUUGAAGAGGCAUCUCUUUGAUAUUAAAGCUCCGGCGGUUAAAGAUGGGCGUGCGUCUCAUUAGGUAGGUGGCGGGGUAACGGCCCACCAAGCCUUCGAUCAGUAGCUGAUGUGAGAACAUGAUCAGCCACACGGGCACUGAGACACGGGCCCGACUCCUACGGGAGGCAGCAGUAAGGAAUAUUGGUCAAUGGACGCAAGUCUGAACCAGCCAUGCCGCGUGGAGGAUGAAGGCCCUCUGGGUUGUAGACUUCUUUUCUUUGGGACGAAACCCCUGUUUCUACGGGGACUGACGGUACCAGAGGAAUAAGCACCGGCUAACUCCGUGCCAGCCGCCGCCGUAAGAC
rnacentral:rRNA from 1 species